rnacentral:lncRNA from 1 species
GCACUUGCAGCCUUGGAAACUCCAGGACGUCCCAGCCAACAGAAAAGGAAACCGAGUACGCCACUCUCAGAAGUUAUUGUCAAAAACUUGCAACUUGCUUUGGCAAAUAGCUCUCGAAAUGCUGUCGCUCUUUCUGCCAGCCCUCAACUGAAAGAGGCCCAGUCAGAGAAGGAAGAAGCCCCAAAGCCACUUCACAAAGUAGUGGUAUGUGUUAGUAAAAAACUCAGUAAGAAGCAGAGUGAACUAAAUGGGAUCGCAGCCUCUCUAGGAGCAGAUUACAGGUAGUUGGCACAUCUUUCUGUUUCAUGGUGAUAUGACUGAAAUUUAUAAGGAAACCUAAAGCUAUUGUGAGCAUCUACAAGAAUACAUUUAUUUUGUUUCAUGCAUCUUUAUCUACAAAAUCUCUCCAGUUGAUUUUUAAUUUACCACAUCUGUUGAAAAUAGCCUCUCACAUAUCAAUUCACUCUUAUAUGUAUAUAAUGUAUAUUUUUUAGGGUAUGCACAACAAAUAUUGGAGAGCCUAUUUUAUGCCACUA